GGCCGCGCGGCCGGGGAGGAGGGGAGCGACAUGGCCGACGGCGACGCCUCAGCCCACCCUGGAAACUCUACGGACGAUUGCCGAUGAAGAGUGGGUCAUUCUGGCAGAGAUGUGUCCGUGGAGUCGCUAUGAGUUGGAAACGACUCGACAGCAUGACUAGACAGGAGGGGAAAGUAACAGAAUGUAAAGACUGCCAAGGAAGCUUUCGUUCUGACUGAACUCAGUGACCUGGACAGCAGCACACUGAGGCCCUUACAAGUAUCCUCUACCCCUGGACUCGUUGGACUCUCAGCUUUAUAUUCUCUUUAUUUAUUUGCUAUUGUUUUAAUGAGAUGUUCAUCCCCUUGAUUCUAUUUAUUGCUAUUGUUCUUGUCUG